rnacentral:lncRNA from 1 species
GAAGGAAGAAGAAAAGAUGACGACGCAGAAUAAAGAGAUGGAAGUGGUGAAGGAUCUCGACUUGGAGAGAUACAUGGGCCGUUGGUACGAGAUUGCUUCUUUGCCUUCCAUUUUUCAGCCCAAGAACGGUAUUGACACUCGCGCCACCUACACCCUCAACCCUGACGGCACGGUUGAUGUCUUGAACGAGACGUGGAACAGUGGCAAGAGAGUUUUCAUCCAAGGCUCAGCAUACAAGACUGAUCCUAAGAGCGACGAGGCUAAGUUCAAAGUUAAGUUCUACGUCCCUCCUUUCCUCCCUAUCAUUCCUGUCACUGGAGAUUACUGGGUGUUGUAUAUUGAUCCUGAGUACCAGCACGCCGUCAUCGGCCAGCCUUCAAGGAGUUAUCUCUGGGUAUGUCUUGUUGUGUUUUGUCUCUUUAUGAUGAAUAUGAUAGAAAAAGCUAAGGAUUGAUAUUGAGUAUGUGGGAUAUGUGGUGUAGAUACUGAGCAGGACGGCACAUGUGGAGGAAGAGACAUACAAGCAGCUGCUGGAGAAGGCGGUGGAGGAAGGGUACGACGUCAGCAAGCUUCACAAGACCCCUCAGAGUGACACACCACCUGAGUCCAACGCUGCUCCUAACGACACCAAGGAUCAAAUGCUAAAAUAGACCACAAAGGGUCAAAAAAAUUUGAUAUAGACCUAUUGUUUCUUUAUUUUAAUAAUAAAUAAAAAUUAGGGAGAAAAGACAAUGAGACCUAAUGAAGUCAACCCAAAAAUUUAGAUGUAUUUUGGUAUAACUAAUGCAACAAGUUCAACUACACUGUAAUAUAUAAGAAUAGUACAACUACUCGACAUUAGUGUUUCAAUCAAAAUAUUUAAAAUAAGAUACACAUUCAAAACAUGAUGCAUAUUUAAAACAAUACUAAAUUAAAUAACAAGUAGUUAUACCGGUUUUCUAGUUGUAUCGGUUGUGUAUAGUUAAUAGUUGUACUAGUUUUUGAGUUGUACCAUUUUGUGCAUAGUUGUACUUUGGUAAUAAAAACCAAAAUAUUAAUUCUUCCACAUAAUAAAUAUAUUUAUCUCAGUUGUACCACUUAUUUAUGUUUUCAUGCAUUUGCCCGAUUAUAAUGAAAUCAUCAAUUUUAUAAAAAUACAUUUCAUGUAUGUUUUUCAAAAAUUAUGUGGACAAACAAGUUAACAAACCUUAAAAGUAUAAGGUAUAUCAUGUAAAUUUCUGGAACUGUGUAAUAACUUUUAUUUUAUUUUUUCAAAACUUAUAAUAAAUUAAGAAAAACUUUUUGAAUACAUACCCUUUGCCGUCUGCAAGAAACUGAAAAUCAACCCUUUGCAGUAUGUACACGACUGUUACACUUGUGAACGGUAUUACAAAACUUAUGCUGCCACUUUUUCUCCUGUUCCGGAGUUAUCAGCUUGGCCGGAAGCUUCCGGAGUUCUGAGAUUGUUUCCCCCAGUCAUUCCUCCGCCACCACCGCCUCCAUCUUCUGUAGUACCAUGUAAGGCCCAACGCAAAUCAACUCUUAAGACUAAUAAAAGGAAGAGCUGAGAAAUGUAGAUUUUCAUCUGAAUCGAACCGGACAUUUUGGUAUGUUUAUGUAGUAUCUUGCGACUUUCAGAAGUAGGGUUAAUCCCGGUUUGAAUUUUACGAUGUUGAUGCUGUAAUGUAAGAAACAGAACGUGUGUUGGUGUUUUUUUUUGGUAUGUGAUGAUUAAUCCGGUUUGUGUCAGAAAUUUUGUCGAUCCCAUGAACCGAUACAAAAACAAAGCUAAACCGGAUCGGAAACUGAAGCCAACCGUCAUGUUCUUCACCAUCUCAUUCCGAAUCGUUUCUCUCUUGCUAUCUCACUUCCAGGUGGGCGGUAAUAUACAAACAAAUAACAUGUGUAUGUUAAGCUUAUCCCUUUGCUCUUUAAGAAAGUUUUUUUUAAUCUGCAAGGAGGUGAGUGCGAUCCUAAAAUCCACUUUAGAAAUUUGUUAGUGUUUGUAAUAAGAUUAAAGAAGAAGAAUUUUGUGUACAACAAUAUCCUCAAACCAAAACAAAGUUGACGAAAAUGGACUUUAUGAAUAUAGAUCUCGAAUGUUUUACAAGAUAUGGAAAUGGUAAUCUAAACAAGGCUCAGAGGUGUGUUCAAACAUGUCAUGUCAUGUCUCUCCUUAAGGUGAGCCUCAAACUGAGAAUCAAAAUAAAGAUAAAGACUGAAAUGGGUAAGUGAAGAGUUUGAAGUCGAUAGGUUAGUGUGUUCAAAUAUGUCAUGUCUCCUUGCUCUCAUCUCUCAUCUUUUUUUUGGUUUUUGAUAUUUUCUCUUCUUCUCAUCAUUCCGAUCUCGGAAAUCUCGGACGCUCAGUGGUCACCACGAAAAAAGUUGAGUGUUACAAUCUAGUUAAUCGCACAAUUAUGAAAAAUGUUCUUGGGUGGGCCUAAAAAUGGCAAAAGAAAGUCAAAACAAAGUGUGAAUGUUUGGCUUGGCCCAUUGCAUUGUAUUCUUCUACGGUUCUACCUCCCGCCCAUAGAACAAAGAAAAGAGAAACAGACAUAUGUGUCCUCCUCCUUGUUUCAGAUUACAUCUCUUAGAUGCUACUAGAACCAUUUGCCCUACACGCUUCCCACGUGUCAGUCUCUCUUCCCACAGAAAUCCACUUUGUGGUCUUUUUCUGUUUUCUUUUAUAAAAAAUAAACAGAAUCCCUCUUUCUUAUCCUACUCAAUAAAAUAUCUGAACCUUAGAGAAGAAGGAAGAAGAAAAGAUGACGACGCAGAAGAAAGAGAUGGAAGUGGUGAAGGAUCUUGACUUGGAGAGAUACAUGGGCCGUUGGUACGAGAUUGCUUCUUUCCCUUCCAUUUUUCAGCCCAAGAACGGUAUUGACACUCGCGCCACCUACACCCUCAACCCUGACGGCACGGUUGAUGUCUUGAACGAGACGUGGAACAGUGGCAAGAGAGUUUUCAUCCAAGGCUCAGCAUACAAGACUGAUCCUAAGAGCGACGAGGCUAAGUUCAAAGUUAAGUUCUACGUCCCUCCUUUCCUCCCUAUCAUUCCUGUCACUGGAGAUUACUGGGUGUUGUAUAUUGAUCCUGAGUACCAGCACGCCGUCAUCGGCCAGCCUUCAAGGAGUUAUCUCUGGGUAUGUCUUGUUGUGUUUUGUCUCUUUAUGAUGAAUAUGAUAGAAAAAGCUAAGGAUUGAUAUUGAGUAUGUGGGAUAUGUGGUGUAGAUACUGAGCAGGACGGCACAUGUGGAGGAAGAGACAUACAAGCAGCUGCUGGAGAAGGCGGUGGAGGAAGGGUACGACGUCAGCAAGCUUCACAAGACCCCUCAGAGUGACACACCACCUGAGUCCAACGCUGCUCCUAACGACACCAAGGAUCAAAUGCUAAAAUAGACCACAAAGGGUCAAAAAAAUUUGAUAUAGACCUAUUGUUUCUUUAUUUUAAUAAUAAAUAAAAAUUAGGGAGAAAAGACAAUGAGACCUAAUAACUUAAACAUAUUUACUAAUCUAUGCCAUUGCAAUUCUACCCAGAUUCUGAUCCAGAUUCUGACCCGGAUCCAUACCCAAACCCGAUCUAACUCUAACCCUAGUCUUCUUCUUCCUCCUUUUUUCUUCUCCAUUAAUGUUCCUUCAUUUUAAAAAAAAAAUCAAAAAUUUUCUUUAACCAUCCUUUAAUUUUCUCUUUCUUAACCCAAAUCGAACAAUCCAUACUCAUAUUUAAUCAAUUAUAUCUUAUUUAGAAUCAAAUUUCAUAUUUUAUGAAUGAGAUUUAAAAUAAAGAAGAACGCGAAGUAUAACUAAUACAAAGAGUACAACUACAACUGGUACGGAUAGUACAACUCCAACUCAUACAACUAAUACAAAUCAAAUUGGUACAACUAGUACAGCUAAAACAAAUAUAACUAGUAUAAAUAUAUUGAGUAUAGCCAAUAUAGCUGAUACAAGAAAAACUUGUAUAACUAAUACAACUUUACAAUAAUUUGGUGAGUUUUUAUUUUUUGUUAUCAACAUAUAAAAAUGACAUAAAAAGGAUAAUUUAGAACCAAUAAAACAUGUUGGUCUAAUCUUUUCCCGCCUGCAUGUAUCAAAUACAUGAAUUGUAUAUUUUUAAUAAUAUUUGAAUUGAAUAAUGAUUUAUUUACAAGUUGUACAAGUUAUACUGGUUGUACUAUUUUCUAAAAAAAACAUCAAUCAUCUUUUUAUUCUUAAGGCCAAAAAAGUAGAUGUGGAUCCAAAAAAGUCUUUAACCAUGGUUCUAAAAAACACAAGUCACUGGAAAAAUAAAAAGAAGGGAACGUCGGCGAUGAGUAAGAGUAACCAUCAUCGAUGGAGAAAAAGAUGGUCUCUAUUGUGAAGAAGAGAGAUGCCGCAUCGGAAAAUAAAAAAGACGCAGUGAAGAAAAAGAGAGAUGCGACAAAGAAGAGUGUAGUCGUGGUGAAAAAUAGGAAGCUUGACGGUGGUGUCCAUGGUGGGUCUUCGUCAAAUCCAAACAAACAGCUCGGAAUUGCAAGAGAGAAACCACAUUUCCACCGGACCCUCAAUGCGUUCUUUUCCCGAAACCAUCAAUGGCUUCACCAUUUCAGCCCACUAGUAAGCCCCAUAAAUCAUGAAGUCAACCCAAAAAUUUAGAUGUAUUUUGGUAUAACUAAUGCAACAAGUUCAACUACACUGUAAUAUAUAAGAAUAGUACAACUACUCGACAUUAGUGUUUCAAUCAAAAUAUUUAAAAUAAGAUACACAUUCAAAACAUGAUGCAUAUUUAAAACAAUACUAAAUUAAAUAACAAGUAGUUAUACCGGUUUUCUAGUUGUAUCGGUUGUGUAUAGUUAAUAGUUGUACUAGUUUUUGAGUUGUACCAUUUUGUGCAUAGUUGUACUUUGGUAAUAAAAACCAAAAUAUUAAUUCUUCCACAUAAUAAAUAUAUUUAUCUCAGUUGUACCACUUAUUUAUGUUUUCAUGCAUUUGCCCGAUUAUAAUGAAAUCAUCAAUUUUAUAAAAAUACAUUUCAUGUAUGUUUUUCAAAAAUUAUGUGGACAAACAAGUUAACAAACCUUAAAAGUAUAAGGUAUAUCAUGUAAAUUUCUGGAACUGUGUAAUAACUUUUAUUUUAUUUUUUCAAAACUUAUAAUAAAUUAAGAAAAACUUUUUGAAUACAUACCCUUUGCCGUCUGCAAGAAACUGAAAAUCAACCCUUUGCAGUAUGUACACGACUGUUACACUUGUGAACGGUAUUACAAAACUUAUGCUGCCACUUUUUCUCCUGUUCCGGAGUUAUCAGCUUGGCCGGAAGCUUCCGGAGUUCUGAGAUUGUUUCCCCCAGUCAUUCCUCCGCCACCACCGCCUCCAUCUUCUGUAGUACCAUGUAAGGCCCAACGCAAAUCAACUCUUAAGACUAAUAAAAGGAAGAGCUGAGAAAUGUAGAUUUUCAUCUGAAUCGAACCGGACAUUUUGGUAUGUUUAUGUAGUAUCUUGCGACUUUCAGAAGUAGGGUUAAUCCCGGUUUGAAUUUUACGAUGUUGAUGCUGUAAUGGAAGAAACAGAACGUGUGUUGGUGUUUUUUUUUGGUAUGUGAUGAUUAAUCCGGUUUGUGUCAGAAAUUUUGUCGAUCCCAUGAACCGAUACAAAAACAAAGCUAAACCGGAUCGGAAACUGAAGCCAACCGUCAUGUUCUUCACCAUCUCAUUCCGAAUCGUUUCUCUCUUGCUAUCUCACUUCCAGGUGGGCGGUAAUAUACAAACAAAUAACAUGUGUAUGUUAAGCUUAUCCCUUUGCUCUUUAAGAAAGUUUUUUUUAAUCUGCAAGGAGGUGAGUGCGAUCCUAAAAUCCACUUUAGAAAUUUGUUAGUGUUUGUAAUAAGAUUAAAGAAGAAGAAUUUUGUGUACAACAAUAUCCUCAAACCAAAACAAAGUUGACGAAAAUGGACUUUAUGAAUAUAGAUCUCGAAUGUUUUACAAGAUAUGGAAAUGGUAAUCUAAACAAGGCUCAGAGGUGUGUUCAAACAUGUCAUGUCAUGUCUCUCCUUAAGGUGAGCCUCAAACUGAGAAUCAAAAUAAAGAUAAAGACUGAAAUGGGUAAGUGAAGAGUUUGAAGUCGAUAGGUUAGUGUGUUCAAAUAUGUCAUGUCUCCUUGCUCUCAUCUCUCAUCUUUUUUUUGGUUUUUGAUAUUUUCUCUUCUUCUCAUCAUUCCGAUCUCGGAAAUCUCGGACGCUCAGUGGUCACCACGAAAAAAGUUGAGUGUUACAAUCUAGUUAAUCGCACAAUUAUGAAAAAUGUUCUUGGGUGGGCCUAAAAAUGGCAAAAGAAAGUCAAAACAAAGUGUGAAUGUUUGGCUUGGCCCAUUGCAUUGUAUUCUUCUACGGUUCUACCUCCCGCCCAUAGAACAAAGAAAAGAGAAACAGACAUAUGUGUCCUCCUCCUUGUUUCAGAUUACAUCUCUUAGAUGCUACUAGAACCAUUUGCCCUACACGCUUCCCACGUGUCAGUCUCUCUUCCCACAGAAAUCCACUUUGUGGUCUUUUUCUGUUUUCUUUUAUAAAAAAUAAACAGAAUCCCUCUUUCUUAUCCUACUCAAUAAAAUAUCUGAACCUUAGAGAAGAAGGAAGAAGAAAAGAUGACGACGCAGAAGAAAGAGAUGGAAGUGGUGAAGGAUCUUGACUUGGAGAGAUACAUGGGCCGUUGGUACGAGAUUGCUUCUUUCCCUUCCAUUUUUCAGCCCAAGAACGGUAUUGACACUCGCGCCACCUACACCCUCAACCCUGACGGCACGGUUGAUGUCUUGAACGAGACGUGGAACAGUGGCAAGAGAGUUUUCAUCCAAGGCUCAGCAUACAAGACUGAUCCUAAGAGCGACGAGGCUAAGUUCAAAGUUAAGUUCUACGUCCC